rnacentral:rRNA from 1 species
CCUACGGGUGGCUGCAGUGGGGAAUAUUGGACAAUGGGCGAAAGCCUGAUCCAGCCAUGCCGCGUGUGUGAAGAAGGCCUUCGGGUUGUAAAGCACUUUCAGUGGGGAAGAAAGCCUUGGGGCUAAUACCCUCGAGGAAGGACAUCACCCACAGAAGAAGCACCGGCUAACUCCGUGCCAGCAGCCGCGGUAAUACGGAGGGUGCGAGCGUUAAUCGGAAUUACUGGGCGUACAGCGCGCGUAGGCGGUCUGAUAAGCCGGUUGUGAAAGCCCCGGGCUCAACCUGGGAACGGCAUCCGGAACUGUCAGGCUAGAGUGCAGGAGAGGAAGGUAGAAUUCCCGGUGUAGCGGUGAAAUGCGUAGAGAUCGGGAGGAAUACCAGUGGCGAAGGCGGCCUUCUGGACUGACACUGACGCUGAGGUGCGAAAGCGUGGGUAGCAAACAGGAUUAGAUACCCGUGUAGUC